CCUACGGGAGGCAGCAGUGGGGAAUAUUGCACAAUGGGGGAAACCCUGAUGCAGCGACGCCGCGUGAGUGAAGAAGUAUUUCGGUAUGUAAAGCUCUAGCAGCAGGGAAGAAAAUGACGGUACCUGAGGAAGAAGCCCCGGCGAACUACGUGCCAGCAGCCGCGGUAAUACGUAAGGGGCAAGCGUUAUCCGGAUUUACUGGGUGUAAAGGGAGCGUAGACGGCAGCACAAGUCUGGAGUGAAAUGCCGGGGCUUAACCCCGGAACUGCUUUGGAAACUGUGCAGCUAGAGUGCAGGAGAGGUAAGUGGUCUUCCUCGUGUAGCGGUGACAUGCGUCGAUAUUAGGCG
rnacentral:rRNA from 1 species